CCCCCCCCAUUUUUCUUCCUUUUGUACCACGCAGCCUGGAUGCAGCCUAAGCUGGAGCCAUGUGGCCCUUCAGGGACAUGUGGCCCACCACAACCUUGACCUCUAUCAGAAUGGAACUGCCUGUUUUCCCAGAGUGCUUCUGGUCACAGGCAACACCUACUUGUAGGACAAGAAACCUAUGUGUCCCUCCAGCUCUUUAGCCCUUCUCACUGAAGCACCAGCCUUUCCAGCAUCCUCUCUGCUGGGCACCUUCCACAUUGCGAAGGUUCAGGUGAAAGACACCUUCCUGGAGCAUCCCCCCUGGUCCCCAAGCCAGCUCUCCUGUUGAAUUCCUCCAGUCCUUUCCCCAUACCUCCCCAUCGGCAGACGCUCUGUCUUGUUCUGCUGGAAAUUUGGGAACAUCCUUUAUCUCCCUACUCCAUGAAAAGCUUCCAGGGGGGCCAGGAUCCAUGUCUGGCCAGCCUUUGUGUUCUCUACCAUGGUUUGCACACAGUAGGUGCUCUGUCGAUAUUGGUUGAAUAAAUGAGUAAAUCAAAGAA